rnacentral:rRNA from 1 species
CAGCCGCCGCGGUAAUACGGAGGGUGCAAGCGUUAAUCGGAAUUACUAGGCGUAAAGCGCACGCAGGCGGUCUGUCAAGUCAGAUGUGAAACCCCCGGGCUUAACCUGGGAACUGCAUUUGAAACUGGCAGGCUAGAGUCUUGUAGAGGGGGGUAGAAUUCCAGGUGUAGCGGUGAAAUGCGUAGAGAUCUGGAGGAAUACCGGUGGCGAAGGUGGCCCCCUGGACAAAGACUGACGCUCAGGUGCGAAAGCGUGGGGAGCAAACAGGAUUAGAUACCCGUGUAGUCCCUGUCUCUUAUAC